UGGAGAUCCCUAUCUGAGGCCUUUCAGGGAUCUGCACACAGCCCAGAGGCUCAUAGUGCGGGGGUGCCAACAGCACAAGGCAGAGUCUGCACAGGGUUUGGAUUACUGACACAGCCCCCGGGAGCCCUUCAACCAGUGGAGGCCAAUCCACUGGCAUGUUCUUACUGAGAGCAAAGCCAGAGGUACUGACCAGGGGAAGAGCUACAGGAAAUGAAUGGAGCUGUGCGUCACAGCCAGUGAGGAUACAAGUUUGCAGCAAUGGAGCCAUUGAAAAAGAGAGGCACAGCAACCUCCAGCUUUCCUAACGUGGAGUAAAGGGAAUAAUUCCCUCCAUUUCUGGGAUAUGCUUAAGGCAUGUCUAAAUUCAAGGCAAGAAGAGUCCUUUUCAAAUAAUUUUAAUGGGGAAACUGCUUCUAAGAUAUGUAGCUGGAGUAAUAAAACACAUGCAAACAGAUUUUCUGAAAGAUGAUAGAAGAAAACAUCCUGGUUCUUUUAUUAAGACAUCUGUUGUGCGCUGCAGAUCACGCUGACGUGCACAGAGCAGGGCACUGAGGUUCCUCCCAGUCGCCCAAACACGCGCGGUCCCACAGCUGGAUCUGCAGCACACGCAGCUCGCUGGCUGCGGAAACAACCCGCAAUCUGUGUGAGCCGUGCUGGUGGAAGGGGAAUCUCUGCCAAGGGCUCCAGUUCUCUGCUUUCAUAAAGGGAAGAGUAUUGCAAACAUCAAAGUACACCUUCAACUUCUUUUUUUUCAGGGUUUUCAGCAUUAAUUACAUGAGAAUGCAAUGCAUUAAAUAUUCCUGUCAUAAGUGUGCUGUAUCAAACUGUAUUUAAAAUCAGCCACGCUGUGCUGUCACG